rnacentral:lncRNA from 12 species
AGGGCACCCAGGCUGUGCCAGCAGCUCUGCAGCCCAGGGACAGCCAGCUUCUUACAGAGGAUCUACUUCGAUUCGUUGUCUGCCCUUUCUUGGAAGGCUGAGUUGUGCCAAACCUCACCAGUGGUGUAACAGAACUACCC